GUCAGAAGCAGUUGUAUUGCCCCCACAAGAAGCCUGGGAGCUCAUUCUGGCAGAUCCUGCCCCGUUUGGAACCUGGCUGUGAGCAAGAAAACAUCUGUGGUCGGAAAGUGGGGGCAGUGAUUCAGGCCUGUUUGGGACUUGGAGAGAGGAUGUCCUUGAACCCUUUGCUCGGCAAACAGCUCCCUCCCACAAGGAUGUGAGAGGUCAUCUGUCUGUCUACUUUGACACUUUCACCCAGUGACCUUCAGGGAUUCAGACACCUUCCCGCCCCCAGCCACCACCACCCUGGGAAGAUGGAUUAAACCCGAGAGGACUGUGCAAGGAGGUGGAAGAAGUCGUGCCAAGAGUACAUGGAGGAGAAAGGGGACCAGCUCAGUUCACACUGGAUGGGCAGCUGUGUUUGGCAGAAGGGCCAAGGAAAAUCAGCUCAUGCAUUGGAAGUUUUAGCCAGAGCAAUUGGCAAGAAAGAGAAAUAAAAGACAUCCACGGAGGAAAGGAAGAAGUAAAAUAAUCCUUGUUUAAACA